UUCUUCAUUUUUUUCUCCUUUGAAGUCUUUCAACAAAAAUGGGUGGCAUCAUCUCAACCUUCUUCUCAGCGGACACAAUUCGUCCAAUUUUAUUUUACGUCGGUGGACAAGCAAAGUAUAUAUGGGGUCUUAAAGGUAAUCUCGAUGACUUGCAGACUCAAAAGGAGAACUUGAUUGCGAAAAAACAAGAUCUGCUGAAUAAGGUUAAGCUUGCCGCGCAACAACCCCGAAUCAGACGGACGACGACGGUGGAACUUUGGUUUAAAAGGGUGGAAGAAAUGGAAACUAAAGUUGAAAAUCUGCAAAAAGAAGGAGAUCAACAGGUUGAUAGACUGUGUCUUGGAGGCUUCUGUUCCACGGACUUGAUUUCAAGCUACGACUUCGGCAAAAAAGUGGAGAACUUGAGAGAAAAAGUGAUCGAACUGAAGAAAGAGGGGGAAGCAAUGAAAGAAGUUUAUGAGGGGGUACCAGAAGGUGCAGCGGUUGAAAAAGCUGUUGACCGAACAAUCGUUGGUCAAGAAUCAAUACUUGACCGAGUGUGGAGAUGCAUCACAGAUCAAGAAAAGAAUGAGGAAAUUAUUGGCUUAUAUGGUAUGGGGGGCAUCGGCAAAACUACUCUGUUAAAACAAGUCAACAACAAGUUCUGCAGUGAGGAGCAUGAUUUUGAUGUCGUUAUCUGGUCGGUUGUAUCUAGAGAGCCAAACUUGAAGCAGAUUCAAGAGGAUAUUGGGAAAAGGAUAGGCUUCUCAACAGAUUCAUGGCAGGGAAAAAGUUUUGAAGAAAGGGCUUCAGACAUCACCAACACUUUAAAGCAUAAGAAGUUUGUAUUGUUAUUGGAUGAUAUAUGGGAGUCCGAAAUUGAUUUAACAAAAUUGGGCGUCCCUCUUCGGACACUAGAUUCUGGGUCCAGAAUAGUCUUCACAACUCGUUUUGAGGGUACUUGUGGUAAAAUGGGAGCCCAUAAGAAUCGGUACAAAGUGUUUUGUUUGGGAGAUGACGAUGCCUGGAAAUUAUUUGAGGGGGUGGUCGGGAGUUACGUUCUUAACAAGCAUCCCGACAUUCCGAAGUUAGCCGAGGAUGUGGCACGUCAGUGUCAUGGUUUGCCGCUGGCCCUCAAAACAGUAGGUAAUGCCAUGGCGAGCAAAGUGUACCCUGAAGAAUGGAAAGAAGCAAUUGAGAUCCUAAGCGCAUCAGCUUCUAAAUUCGAAGAUAUGGAGAAAAAGGUGCUUUCGAGCUUAAAGUUCAGCUAUGACAGUUUGCCGAAAGAUGAACUUCGAUCUUGUCUCCUGUACUAUUGUUUAUUUCCCGAAGACUCUGAAAUUGAAAAAACUGAGUUGAUAGAGUAUUGGAAAAGUGAAGGAUUUGUGGAUUCCAGCAGCGGGUGGGGGGUUCUUGGUGCUCUCGUUCGGGCAUGCUUAUUGGAGGAAGCAGGUGAUCGUGUAAAAAUGCACGAUAUGAUCCGUGACAUGGCAUUAUGGAUAGCAACGGAAAUAGAGGAGGAGGAGAACUUUUUGGUUCGUGCAGGAGUUGGAUUAACUGACGCCCCAAAGAUUGAAGAAUGGGAAGGGGUCAAAAGGAUAUCCUUGAUGAGGAACAAAAUUCGAAGUCUACCACAAAUUCCCACUUGUCCGCGUCUGCAAACAUUGCUUCUGGAAUAUAAUCAUAUUGAGGAGAUCACUGAGAGUUUCUUUCAAUCUUUGCCUUCGCUUAGAGUUUUGAAUCUAAGUGGAAAUCAUUACCUAACUGAACUACCUGUAGGGAUUUCAAGUUUGGUUUCAUUACACCAUCUUGAUCUGUCUUCUACUGGAGUACGUGGAUUGCCGCAAGAGCUCAAGGCAUUGGUGAAUCUGAGAUAUUUGAACUUGGAGUAUACACAUGAAAUGUCUAGAAUUCCAGAGCAAUUGAUAUCAAGCUUUCCAAAGUUACAGGUACUCAGGAUGCUGUAUUGCGGUUCAAACCACCGGCCAAUAGCGGAAGAAGGCAACGUUCUAUCCGAUGAUGCUGAAUCAUUGAUGAAGGAAAUCCACUGUUUGGAACAAUUAAACCUCAUCACCUUGUCCUUACAUGGUUCGCGUGGUGUUGAAAACUUUCUGAAAUUCCCAAAGCUGCAGAAUAUCACUCAAGCUCUGUACAUCAAAGACUGCAACAGUCUACCGCUCAAUUUGUUGCAUCUAGCAAACAUGGAGCAUCUUGAGCGGUUAGUCAUUUGGGACAGUAAUUUGGAAGACUGGAAUGUCGACUGCGCGGGAGAGGUACAAAAAAUGCGAAAACUUCACUUUGUUACAAUAGCCGAAUGCUCAAAUGUGAAGGACUUGACGUGGCUUGUUUUUGUUCCAAAUCUCAAGUGGCUGCGAAUAUAUGAUUGUGAUGACAUGGAAGAAAUAAUCAGUGUUGAAAAAUUUAAAAAAUUGAGUGAAGUUUCAGAGAUGAUGGGAGAGCUUAACUUGUUCACAGAACUCGAAAUUAUGAGCCUAGGAGAUGCAAGUAAUUUGAAGCGCAUCUACCGCGAUCACUUGCCCUUUCCACAGCUGAAGGAAAUUGUCAUAUCUCGAUGCCCAAAGUUGAAGAAGCUCCCACUCAAUUCCAGCAGCGCAAAGGGACGUAAAAUUGUCAUUUACGGGGAGAAAGAAUGGUGGGAAGAGCUACAAUGGGAGGAUCAAGCCACUCAAAAUGCUUUCUCUCCCUGUUUCCUACCUGAGCUACAAUGGGAGGAUCAAGCAAGACUUUGAAUAAAGUUUCUGCGUGUGCUUAAUGAUUAUCUUGUCUAUCUAUUUCAUUUAAUUUAAAAGCUUUCCACGGUGUUGCGUGUCACUUGUCAUUCUUCUGUACUGCUGUUUCCUAUUUCCGGUUAAUAAAACUUUUUUGUUCUUCGAAAUGGUUUGCUCGGAAGCGAGAUCGUCAAUUUUCUUAUAUUUUGAUUAAUAUAUUCUAUUUACUUUCCUAUUAUGUCAAUAAUUGCCUGGUAGCAUAAUUUUUUAAUAUUAUUUAUAUUCAUAUUUAUUAUAAAUUAAAUAAAUAUAUGAAUAGAAAUAAAAAUAAAAAUUAAGUAUUAAAAUAAGAAAUAUAUAUUUCGAUGUGAAUAAAAAAUAAAUAUUUGUUUGUACUUUUUAUUUUAUAUAUUCCUUAGAAGAACAUAUUUAUAAAAUAAAAAGUGCAAGAAAAAUAUUUUAUUAUUAAUUUUGUACUCACAUCAAAAUAUAUAUUUAUUACUUUCAAUACUUAAUUAUUUAUUCAAAUCAUCAUUUAUAUGAUUUAUUUAAUUUAUAAUAAAUAUAAAUAAAAGUAUAUUUGUAAAUAAAAGUAAUAUUAUAAAUUAUGUUGUUAGAAAUUAUUGGUCAUUAUAAAAAUAAUAUGGGAUAAAUGGUAAAUCGUAAAUAUUGUUUCCUAUUUUCAGCUAAAAAAUUUCUUUGUUCCAAGAAUUACAUUGCUAGUAAUAAGGCUUGCAAGUUGCUUAACUGUAUAUGACUUCUUUCUUAAAAAAGUUACUAUCUAUUUCGGAGAUUGAUUAUCUUGAAGUAGUGAGAUUUAUGUAAUGUUGGUAUUAAAAGAAUUUGUGCGACUGAUAAAAAAAUGUCCAUCGGAUAACAAUGGACCGAUAAUAGUUUUAGCAAAAUGCAGGUAAAAAAUUAAAAUAUUCUGCAAGCUCUACAUAGCUUUUUCAGCAGAUUUUACCCAUUUGACUGCAGACCAAAGCAUGGAUCGAAGCAUUUAUUAAGAAGAGGAUCAUCCGGAGGCAAAAGAUCAAGAAUAUCAUCUGAGGCCAGGAUAACAAUGUUCACUGCCCUCGCCAGCAGUACUUGUAGUUCUCUUCUUAACGAGUUUGUUGCCCCUUCCACGUCCUUUCUGUUCAAAGCAUCAAGUGCAGGAAUUAAUGUGUAUUCCAUUGUUGCUCUUAUCUGGUAGCACAACUUCAAAACCCUGAAUAUAAAAGGGGAGGUAACAAAUCAUCAUCUACACCUCCAGAAGAAGAAAGAAGGAAAAAAAAGGUUUGUUUGAUGGUAACCCAUGCUGACAUGCUAUACGAAUGAUGCUUAAGUUCAGAUGCUUCUACUACCUAUCUUAUGUGAAGAAAGAUAUUAAAGAACAACUAAUAUACAAGAGAGACAACAUCAAGUUGAAUGGAGUAAAAUUUCAUCUUCUCUCAAAGCUCUCUUUGCUCAAUCAAGUGAGCUUUACUUUCAAGGCUUAUGUUCACCGCUCUCUUGAGCAUUGAAUUAACACUUGAGACAAAGGAAGUUAAAUAAGUUUAUAUUACUCUAUAAGCCAAACAGUUCAAGACAUAAGUCUUCAGAAGCUGCACAUUAACGUGGCAUAACACCUUGUGAGAUACCAUGUUUUCAUUUCUUUUUAUUACUCCUUUUUCUUCAUUGUUUAUUUCAGGCUUUGCCAACACAAUGCUUUUCUGUACACAUUUCAUUUAACAGUCUUAAAAAAAAGACAUAAACACUACAAUAGGAGGUAGUAAAAUACUCUUGAUUAAAUGAUCUUAUAGAUGUUAGCUUGGUGUUAUACUCUGAAUCAAUCAACCAGGCAUCCAAUUUCCAAAGGAAAAGUCAUGAUUCCUAUGUGAAAAUUUUAGAAUCAUUCAAAUAAUAACGUUAAGAUAGUGCACCAUGAGUUCUGUAACCAAUAUCUAUUUUAUUUCUCUGGAUUCUAUAGUUUAAUUCAGUACUUCUUUCAAGUAAUUUAUUAGUAUCAUAAUAUUCUAUUAUUCACACCAUGUCCACGACAAUGUGAAACAAGUGCCAUACAAGUCACACAGAAGCAAAUUACCUCAAGCUACGGUUUCUUCUGGAAAAAUACUUCAGUUAGAAUUGCAUUCGUUGCAAGCACCCUAAUUGCAUUCGUUGCAAGCUUCGAGUGGCUUCAUAUUGGCUUCCUUGAGCUCCUAGGCGACACACUAACUCAUAUGCAGGAAAGGAAAAGAACUAACCUUACAAACCUCAUCAUGCCAAAAAUGAGAGAGAUGACAUGUAAUUACUAUGCAGCGAGCUCCUGCUUUCUCAAGAAAAACCCUUUUUAUAUGCAGAUUCUCCACAAUUAGAGUAUCAUCCAACUGAACACCCCCCACUAUAACCAUUGAGAAAAGGAAAUGAGCUAUCUCAUGUGACAAUAACUCCUUUUCUAACAAAGGAUCUAACGAAGCAAGAUGGGAAGAUCAUUUUCUUCCUCACGCAGUUGAAAUAAUUUUCUCAAAAAAUUCAAAGUAGAACCAACUGAUGUUCCUUCAAUAAUACCAACUGUGUUUGCUAUGUGAUCUUAUGUUCAUAUUGAUGCUGAAUGUUUUGUCAACGUGUCCCUAAUCCGCAUGUGAAUGCAAUGUGCACGUUACAUUGUUUUGGCUAAUGCCUACCGUUUGAUUCUAAACCACAAAAUCAUUAUGUGAACUAGCUCUCGUGGCGCACAUUCUUAGCCCUUAUCAUCAGCAUUGCUCUCCUUAGGCCCCAUAUCUCAGGUUUAAAUCAUGGGAAAUUGAGUGACAAAAAUUAUAACACUCUCUAAACUUUAGUGGAUUGAAGGAACAUGGGAUUCAUGAAUGAACAGUAAUCUCCAUAUUCUCCGUUUCAAAAGGUUUUUCUACGGCUUCCAAUUGUAUUUCAUUGAGAACAAUGAUUUGCAUAACAUAUAUAUGACUCAAUACUAACUAAAUGCCAUUGAUAUAAUUAUAUAAAUCAAUAGUUUCCAUGUAAAAAAUAAGAGAUAGUAGUAAGUGAAAAGACAUUAAAAUAACAUUAAUUGCUUUAAGAAUAAUAUAUGUUCUUAUUAUGAAUCCUAUAUAUAUAUAUAUAGGAUUCAUAAUAAGAACAUAUAUUCAAGAAUUCUCCACUAUUAAACAAGUCUAAAGGGCUAGAAUUUUAGGAACCUGGAAAAUGUUUUGGAAACAUUCCAACACCAAACACAACUACCAAAAAUCAACAUAAAAAACAUAUCACCUAAAAUUAAAAUGAUAUGUUUACCGAUACAACAUAACCAUAUAAGUAUGUUUCAUUAUAUUUUAUCUAAAAUCUACUGAAUCAAAUACAACUAACACUUUUAUCCUAUUAAGUGAACAUAACAGAAACCCGGAAUCAAUUAUUAAGUAACAUAACAGAUGAAUCAGGUCAAAGGCUGGCUUCUGGGGUAAGAAAUGGUAACCAAAGUUGUUGAUAUGCAAAAUGUAAGAGAUCAAGAACUUGAUAGACUCUGUCUUCGAGGCUUCUGUUCUAAAGACUUGGCUUCAGGCUACGACUUCCGAAAAAAGGUGGCCAUACUGACAGAACAAGUGAUCCUUUUGAAGAAUGAACGAGGAGAAAUCAAAGAAAUUGCUGAGAUGGCACCACAAGAUGCAGCGGUUGAAUUAGCUGUUGAGCAAAUAGUUGUUGGUGAAGAAUCAAUACUUGAUCAAGCUUGGAGAUGUACCAAUGAUCAAGAAAAGAAGAGGGGAAUUAUUAGCCUGUACAGUACAGGGUGUCAGCAAAACUACCCUUUUAAAACAAGUCAAUAACAAAUUCUGCAGUCAGCAGCAGCAUCAUCAUUUUGAUGUUGUCCUGUGGGCGGUUGUGUCUAGAGAGCCAAAUCUUGACAAGAUUCAAGAUGCUAUUGGGAAGAGGAUAGCUUUGUCAGCAGAGUCAUGGAAGGAUAAAAGUCUUCAAGACAAGGCUUUGGACAUCUCUAACAUUUUAAGCAGAAAGAAUUUUAUGUGUUAUUGGAUGAUCUAUGGCAGCAAAUUGAUUUAACAUAAUUGGCUAUCCUUCUUCAAAGCCUGAAUAUUUCAUCCAAGGUGGUUUUCACAACUCGCUUUCUUGAUGUUUGUGGUUCAAUGGAACCUGAUGAAAAUAUUGGGGUCAAAUGUUUGGUUCAUGAUGAAGCCUGGAGAUUAUUUUAAGAGAAAGUCGGUAACGCUACUCGUAGAUGUCAUUCUGAUAUUCCUGAGCUAGUACAAACCUUGGCAAGAGAGUGUUGGUUUGCCACUAGCACUGAAAACAAUUGGUUGAGCCAUGUCCUACAAAAAAAAAAACCCGAUGAAUGGAAGUAUGCAGUUAAGGUCUUAAGCACAUCACUUGAAAAUUUUUCAGGUAUGGAAGAAAAUGUGUUUGCACGUUCAAAGUUUAGUUAUGGCAGCCUGCCUAGCUACACAAUUAGAUCGUUUCUUGUAUUGUAGUUUAUUUCCUGAAUAUUAUGAGGUUUAUAAAGGGGAAUUGAUUGAUUAUUGGAUUAGCGAGGCAUUUGUAAUUGAUUUUGAUGAAGGAUCCACUAUUGUCAGUGAUCUUCUUCAUGCAUGUUUACUGGAAAAGGUAAAUGAUAAUCAUGUCAAAUGCAGGAAGUGAUUCGGGAUAUGGCAUUGUAGAUAGCAUGUAAAAUAGAGGAGGAGGGGAACAUUUUGCUUCAUGUAGGAGUUUUAUUAACUGCAGCACCAAAGAUUGAAGAAUGGGAAGAGGUCAAAAGGAUAUCAUUGAUGGAUAAUAAUAUUACGAGUCUAUCAACAAUUCCUAAUUGUCCUUGUCUCCUAACUUUGCUUCUUUACAGAAUCAAAAUUAGUAUGAUCAUUGAUGGCUUCUUCCAAUUUAUGCCUUCUCUCAACGUUUUGAAUUUAGGAUUCUUUAUAUUUCUAACCAAAUUACAUUCUUUAACUGUCAUAAGGGAGUUGCCAGAAGAGAUGAAGGCCUUGGUAAAUCUCAGAUAUUUGAACUUGGAAUAUGUAAUAUAAAAAAAUGACUGCCUGCAACUGCUGCAUAACUUUCUAAAGUUGCAGGCACUCAAAAUGCUGGGUUACAGUAAUUAUAAUGGAGAAGAAGAAGGUAGAGCUUUAUAUGAAGAUGUCGAACUUUCAUAAAUUGCUCUGUUUGGAAAUUUUGAACCUGCUAAGCAUUACCUUCGAUAGUUGCCCUGUUCUUGAAAUUCUUUUGACAUUACAAAAGUUUCUGAUUUGUACAGAAUCUCUAUGGCUUACAAAAAUUUAUACUCUAUUAUCCCUCAAUGUUUUACCUCUAGCAUACAUGAAGCAUCUCAAAAACUUUCUUAUUCAGAACUGUCCUUUUAAAGAGUUGAAGAUUGAAAAUGCAGGAGAGAUACAAAAUUUACUACAAAAUGGUUUUCGCAAUCUUCAAACAAUUUGCAUAUGAUUGUUCAGGUUUUGAAAGAAUUGAUAUGGCUUGUUUUUACUCCAAACCUUAAGAAUAUUGAUGUGCAGAAUUGCAGUAAUAUGGAAGAAAUAAUUAGUUUUGGAAAAUUAAGUUUCAGAGAUAAUGCUAAAGCAGAACUUGCUGGCAGAACUCAAAUUUUUGUGCCUAAAAGGUAUAGGAAACUUAAAGAGCAUCUUCUAGGAUCCCUUAUCUUUUCCAUAGCUGAAGGAAAUUAAAGUAACUAGAUGCCCAAAGCUGAAGAAGCUCCCACUUGAUUCCAGUAGAGCAAUGGUAGGUACAAUUGUUAUCAAGGGAAAGGAAGACCGGCAGGACGAGCUACAAUCCUACCGAGAUAGAGUUUUGAAUAAGAUUUCUGGUAGGAGCGCUUUUUUUUUCCCCAAUUGAUGUAUCUAUUUGUGUGUAACAUGCAAUCUUGUCUUUCAUAUAAGACACUGUAAUGUAGCCAAUUUCUUUUUCCAAUCAAGAUGGAGGGUAAGCCUCAAAAGCAUUGUGAGUUAUCUUUACAAUUUUCAUCCUUUCCUUGUAUGUGAAAAAAGAUAAUAAAGAACAACAAACUAGUAAUGAAGAACAAGAAAAUGGCAAGUUCAAUAUGGUAGAAGUUAAUCGUCCCUUUAACAUUGCUCAAUUAAGUAAGCUUUACCUCAAGUUCUUGAAGAUCUGAAUUAACAACCAAACAACAAAACAUAUAAUUGAUUAUUAAAACCUUUCUGUGAGGCACUAUUAUUCAGGCCUAAAUAAUAACAAUAAAAUACUACACCACAUCUCAUAUGGCUAAUUCUACUCUCUUUUACUUUGUCUUGGUUCUGCAGUAAAAUUCAGUUCUAGUUUGAAGGAAAUUGUUAACAUCAAAACCUACAUACUGUCUGAGCAUAUACUAACAUCAUAUUUCCAGAUACACCUUAACAGAUCAUAUAAGACAAGAAAUGUGAAAGAAAUACAAAAUGAGUCAUAGAAGGAAAUUACUUGCUCUGCACUUUCUCCUGCUAAACCCGGCAGUUAGAAUGCUAAUUGUUUUGAGCACCCGAAUGCUCAAAGGACCCCAGCUUGAAAUGGCUUUGGAUUGGCUUCCUUUAGCUCCAUUGCAACACACACACCUCCAGGAAAGGAACAAACUAAGAAACCUCAUCAUACCAAAUAUGAGAGAUAAAACAAGGCAUUACUCUGUAGCAAGCACAUCAUUUCUCCAGAAAAUUUCAAUUUCUCCACAAGUACUCCACAAUCAGCGUGUGAUUCACGUUUAACACGUUCAGUUUUAUAAUUAAGAGAAUGAAGAGAAUUCCUCUCAUGAGAUGGUAACUCCUUAUUUAAUCCAGGGUCAAAGCAAAGCAAGAAGGGAAGGUAAAUUCAUUAGAUUAAGAAAAUGAAUAGAGCAUUUGAACCAGAACUCUUGUCAAAUUCUUGAAAUUUCCUGCUUUCAUUAAGAGAACUGAAGGAAGAAAGAACGGGGGCAUAGCCAGAACCAGAUUUAAAUUCAAUCGGGUUUUUUGAAGACUUGUAUAACAACAAAGAGAAACUAGUGAACUGACGGAUACUGUCAAGCUUCUACUAAAGAUCCCUUGUACCAAAAACUAACCAAUUUAAGCUAACAAACCUGCAUGAGCAUCUAAAAUUCAAUACCCAUGGAACAGAUCUGCCUUCAACUUCACAUACCAGCUUCUAUUAACCAAUGACCACCAUUAGAAAUAAGGAUUCUUUAUCGUAAAUUCAUAAUCCAUGAAAGAAAUCACCAAAAGGCCUAACCUUCUCUCUGAGUUCCUUCAAGAACCAAAAUCCACCAAAACAAGUGAAUUUCAAACUCUAUCACUCAUCACUCUCUCUUUCUCAGUUGUUUGGGCCUAUGAGGUCAAUUUACAACAUUCAAUCGAUGCUGAAUAUUUUGUCAGCUUGUCCCAAUUCCAGAUGUGAAUGCAAUGUUCACAUUACAUUGUCUUGCCUACCAUUUGAUUUGAACCAUAAAAUUUGUGUAAAGUAGUUCAUGUUUCACACUUUCUUAGCCGUUAUCAUCAGCAUUCAUCUCCCAUAUUCUCAGGUUUAAAUCAUUGGAAACUGAGUGACAAAUAUGAUAAUAGAAUCAAAACUUUAGUGGCACGAAGGAACAUAGAAGCAACAUCGGAUGUUUUAAAUCUGCAGCAUAAUUUCCUUAGAUCCCUAAAAUAGAUUGAAACUUCAAAUGAAAUAAAGUAGCAGGGUAUACAUUGGAAGUCACGUGCUUGAUAUUUAAUGCUGUCAAAAACAAUUUGCAGUAUUGAAAUAGAUGCUCUAAUAAAUUUUCACAGGGAUUUCAAUAUUUGCCGCUAAUCUUCAGUAGUGAAACAGGAUAAAAUCAUAACGUGUCCUAUAACUAGCAGAGGCAAGAAUAUCCUACAGAAAAAGAAAGCCAAAAACUGUUACAAUCUACAGAACGCAAGUAUUCUACUAGCCAACUCCCAUUAAAAUUUGAAGCCCUUCUAAAAUCUCAGCCUAUACUUCCUUCUAUGUACCCCAACUGAAUUUCUCCCAGAAAUCACAUUUCUUCAUCGGCCUCAACUCAUAUAUCUUUUACUUUUAAUCAGAGAUACUUUUUGAUAUGCUUGGCUUUACAACAACGAAUAAUUUUCCUUAAAUAUUUUCUAAUGGACAAGAAAGCACAAAGCACAAAAAUUCCCAUAGUUGGAUAGAUAAAAACAGCUUUUCCUGAAUCUUUGUCACAAGAAAACCUGAACAUCAUCGCUUCUCUUACAAGGCCCCAGAGCAGAAGAAGUGUCCCAAUGAGGCUCAUCCUCCGAGCUCCAAUUAAGGCUCCUGCAACAGACAAAUAGCUUCCUGCAAGAACCUGAUGUUCCCCCAAAAGAAAAAAAAAAUGACAAAAUGAAAUGCAAUGUACUGCUAAGUUCAAGAGAAAAGCUCCUAAAAUAAAAUUUUGGAGUUUCAGUUUGCCUAUGGUUUUAUGACUCUUUUUGUACAAAGAUCAUAUUUGGGCAUAAGGCUCGUAAUGUUCAAAAUAGCAAAUAAUUGAUAUGAAUAUGAUUGUUUAAAAAAAAUAUUUACAAAAACCUCUAGGCGGAGGAGAUUAGUUUUUUGGGAAUUCGUUAGAUUGGUGAAGUUAUAUAGCCGCAGCAAUUUACUGUAGCUUGGAAUGCUUUUGCCCUUCAUUAUGGCACUUGCUAAGGCUCCAGGAUACAGAAGAACCUUGGCUACAAAUUCAGGGAAGACUUCACUUAUAAUCAACUGGAAGCAUGUCACCUCUAUAGGUGUUGUACAUUUUCUACUUCUACAUGGUAUCCUACAAAAACAAAUAAUACAACAUGUAUUAUACAUGUAUUUCAAAAGCAUUUCUAAUGCUGUUAAGUUUAGACAACAAAAUCUCUACAAGACAUCUGGGAUUCCAACUCCUCAUAUACGAAAUGAAUGUCAAAAAGAAAUGUGGGUUGAGUCGGCUUUUAGGUCUUAUUAAUAGAAUUGAAUAAUGCUGCCAUUGAUAGUAAAAUGAAUUUCAUGUGAUAAUUGAUCAUAAAAGUGACGUAAAUAAUGAGAAAUAAUCACCAUUAUUAUAUAAAAUGAGAAAAUAAUUAUGGAAGAAACAGAAAGAAUUACCUGAAAAGAGGGAUUUGGAAGACAAUGAGACAAAAAUAUAAGGAAGAAGAAAUUAAAGAUAUAAGGCUGCCCAUUUCUUUGAUGAACCCAUCAAAAACAACUUGAAACUGUAAAAUGCUGUGAUGGAGGGAAUUGAAAGAUGAAACUGUAAAAUAUGCAAGUUAGUUCAUGGGGCCAUCUUGAUUGAUUGAUUGAUUACGUAGUAACUAACAAGUGUCCGUUAGAUAGUGACAUCAGUUUUCUCUCUUAAAUUAGGAAACUGUUUAUUUGUUUUUUUUCAGUAAUCAGUUUUCUCUCUUAAAAUAGCCAAAAUUUAGGGGCUUAUCCAUAAUUUUAGCCAGUUUUAGAUAGAAACGCACUUGGCUAGCCCUUUUGUAAGUUACACUAUCUAGUGCGGUAGACCCGCAUGUGCUUCACAUUUAUCGAAUAUCUUAUGUGCAUUUUUUUUUUAUAACUCAUUAUAUGUGCUCAUCUUUAUGUGCAUUAUUACCUAAACGUACAUUCCUCAAAAUGAAUUAUAAAGUAUCAAACGCUUUUAAUUAGACCUUAAUUCUAAUGAGCUCAAUUUAUAGUCUUUAGACCCUUAGCGGUGCAAAGUCACAAGCCUUGCCCAGAGUCUAGUGGUAUAGAUUAUGGGCGACAGGUGUCAUCACUCGAAUGAUUGAUGUCGUUGCUCAGGCGAUGGCGCCCAUUGCUCAUGGACGACGACGUACAUUGCUCAGGCAACGAACCAUUUUGCUAGGCCCAUCACCUGGCCGACAGCCCGCGUUACCUGGGCAAUGGCGAAACUCAUCCAACAAACUUUGAGCUCAGGUUUGAUAGCCUAAGAAAAAUAACUACGGUGACCAUCACACAUCCCAUUUUGCUGACAAUUUGUCUUAAUUUUCAUAGAAUGUUGUUGGGUGAAAUUGUUGCUAUUGAUUUUCCAAAACUGGCAUAAUAAUAGCAAAUAAGUACUAAACGAUUAUGGAAUGUUGCUAAAUAAUAACUUAAAAAAAAACACUCUCAGAGGCAAUUUAGCAAACAUCUUUUGCGCCAUGAUUUUAUUCCACUAAUUUUGUAAAUUUGCCCUCCCAUUACAAAUCUGAAUAAUAAUCUACUUUUGUAAAACAUGCACGUACUUGAACCCUUAACUUAAAAAAUAACUAUUUUAUGCCGCAGAAGCAAAUAAAAAAAUCUAUUUGUUUUGGCCCUAUUCACUUUUUCAUUUGUUUUGUCCACUUCCAAAUUCUAGAGAGAAACCAAAAAAAAAUUAAUAAACUUGAUGCCUUGUUCGCCAAAUUUCUCAAUUUUAAAUAAAAUGAGUGUCUUGUAUCAAGAAAAUAAUAAUAAUAAGAAAAUGAGUAUCAUGAUCAUGUGAUAAAAAGAAUGUUUAUUUUAGUUUCCAACCUAGAUCUCAUAAAGAAUUUCACAACCUCAAAUAAAUAAAUAAAUAUUAUCCGGUAAUGGUAUGACAUUUAAUUUGAAGUAAACGCCAGCCCACCAAAUUUCUCAACUGAAGAACAUGUUUUGGCCAAAAUUCAUACUUUUUUCUCCACAUGAUCUAAGAGCACGCAGAAAUCUCCUAAUCUUAACUACGGAUCUUAUUAUGUUCAUUGAAGUCUAAUAUUGUAGACUCAUUGGUGUAGCUAGAAAAUCAUAUCAUUAGAGUAAAAUUUAUAAAUAAUCAAAGAAAAAGGUUCACGCUCUUACUUCUCCACUUUCAUAAUCUUAUUAGUAAUAUCCAUUUAAAUUGAAGAGUAGUAUAUGGUUAUAGAUAUUUUUAUAUUGCUUUUUAAUAAUAGAUUUAAUUUUGAUCUUUUUAAUAUUACAUUGCAUAUUUAGACUGAAUUAGAUUAAAUUUCAAAUUAGAUCAUAGAACUUAUUUGAAUAGAUUCAAUUGGAUUUUGAACAUCUAUCAAACAACCAGACUAAUAAAUUGCAAAGGAAUGAGAUUUGCGUAUGUGAUUUUAAAAUAAAAUUGGAACUUGAAUUUAUGCAUUUAAUUAAUCCAACAAGACAAAUUUGUAAUUUCAGCUAACCAGAUAGAAUAUGCUAUCUGAAAUUUUGGACCGAGUGGGGACAGUUUAUCACGCAGUGGCGAUGCUACUACUUAUAGUCCAUUCUUAUUCAACUUUCAGAUAUUUUAUAUUAUAUGCAAAUUAAAUCAUAUUCUAAAAAGUGUUUCUAAUUGUUUAACAUUUUAUUUCUGGAUAAUUUUAAGACAUUAAAAAAAUAUGGAAAACAUAAUCAAUUUUAUCAAAUAAAAAGGAGCUUUGGUCUUUUUUUUAAUAAAAAAUGUGUUCAAAUACUCUUGGUAUUUAAGAAGUUACAAUUUCUUUUUGGUUCAUAAAAACGCAUUUUAAAAUUAUGUAAAAUGAAAUUAAAGAUUAACGAAACUGACGUUUGAAUUUCGUAUAAAUUAUGAUAAGUUUAUCUUCAGCAUUAAUGACAUUACAGCGUGGCCAGCAUCAUCAUCCUUUAUCUCCAGCAUCAAAAGUCUGAUAACAUCAACAUCAUAAUCCCUAGGUUGUCAAACUGAUCGUCUCAAAAUGUCAUUAUAGCGUGCUACCAUCAUCUUUACUUUCAGCAUCAAAAUUCUUCUAUUAAAUACUCUUUUUAUUUUUUACAAUUCUUAUCAGAUUAAAUUUUUUUUGCUAUUUGCGUUCUUUAAUUAAUUAAAAAUCUUAUCUCACCUCUCCUUUAAUAAUAGUACUAUAUGAUUAUGAUUUAAUUAUUUUUAUUUUUAAUUAAUUAAACAUCGGUCAUUUAAAUUUAACUCAAGAAAAAAAUCAAAUCACCAAAGAAUUUUAAUUCGUUCUUAUUAAGUACUACAAUAAACUUUUCCCCAUGAUAAUUUAUUAAGCAAACCAUAAUGAUCAUCUUACACUGAAGGACCAACCCAUCUUCAAAACACGAAGAAUUUAAUACGACUAAUUAUCUCAAUAAAGUUCAAUAAAAAAAGAAACAGAUAUUUUUAUUAUUUCUUUUUCUUUCUUUUAUUUUUAGUUUCUUGCCUCUUGAGCCUUUCCAAGAACCAACCGAAGUACUUAUCAAAAAAACAAAAAAAAAAACAACCAAAGUACAAGAGAAAAAACAAUAAAAUAAUUCACAGUUACAUGUAGCUUCACACAUCCCUAUACCAUAUGCGUCCAAAAUUCAUCUCCAAUAGUUGCCCAAAUGUAACCACCAGUUUGUACUUGCAUAUAUAUACGUAUAUAUAUAGGAUUCCCUCGCAUGUAGCUUAACAUUAGCUAUAUAUAUAUCUGUAUAUAUUCCCCGGUAAAAAUGUGGAGCAACCUUCAUUUUAAUGUUCUAGCCAACAUCUUCUCCUUCCUUUCUCCACACUCCUUGACACGUGUCAAAUCAGUCUGCCGCCAUUGGCACACGUGUGCCAAGCUUUACCACCUUCGCUCCGGGUCCCAACACCGGCGGCUGGCAUGGUUCUUGGCUUUGCCUACACGUAACCGUGGCCUGUGUUGCUACAUUCACAACCCAGUUGUCGACAAGCAAGUGACAAUUUGCUUCUACCAAUGACUUCAGAUCUCAAACCUAUUUCAGGCAAGGCCAGCAAUGACAUCAUGUUCAAAACAGUUUAGCCAGACACACCUGUUCAGACCCCUCUACUACAUAUAACCUAGAGGUACAUUUUUUCUUUACAUUCUUUCUAUACGAUUGGCAUUAGGCUUAUCAAGUCCAAUAAGAUAUUUCACAAAACUUAUACUAACUUAUUCCUAAUUAUAGUGGACACAAUUAACUUACUUUGGCAACUGUUCUGAAGAGAAUGACUUCUUCAGGAUGACAUCAAUUACCAGCGAUGAUACUAUCAGUAAGCUACUUCUGCUAUCUACUAAAUAUUACUGCUACACGUAAUAUUGACAAUUCGUUUGUGUGCAGGCCUGUGAUAACCACUUGGAUCGGAUAAAGGACUGGGACAUCAACAAUUUGCCCAGAAACCAAUAAGAUAUCAUUGUAAAACAAUGAUUGGCAUUAGGCUUAUCAAGUUCAAUACAAUAUUUCACAAAACUUAUACCAACUUAUUCCUGAUUAUAGUGAACACAAUUAACUUACUUUGGCAACUGUUCUGAAGAGGCUGACAUCAACUACCAGUGAUGACACUAUCAGUAAGAUGCUUCUGCUAUCUACUAAAUAUUACUUACUUUGGCAAUACUGUUCUGAAAAGGAUAACAUCAACUACUAGUGAUGACACUAUCAGUAAGCUGCUUCUGCUAUCUACUGAAUAUUAGUACUUAAUAUAGUAUUGACAAUUCUUUUGUGUGCAGGCCUGUGAUAACCAUUUAGAUCGACCGGAUAAAGGACUUGGACAUCAACAAUUUGCCCAAAAACCAAUAAGAUAUCAUUGUAAUGCUUAAUUAUAUAUGUAUUAGUUUCCCUUUGAAUGGUGCUCUAUUAUGAUGAUUCUUUCCUCUAUGACUCUUAAAUAAGCAACGUAUUGCCCUUUUGUUAUGCAAAAGUAUGGCAUGUUAAGCAGACGGGAACAACAUGUGGGCUAUGUACACCAUUACCUUAAACGAAGCAAAAUUAUCUUGUGCUUAUCAAAGUUUGAAACUAAUUCUGUGCUUACCAAGAAUGUAUGAAUAACACAUUAUACUCAUACACCAAACUUUAAUCUGAAUGAAUCAAGUAAUUCUAUGUUAAUCAAAGUUUUUAGACUUAUACGACGAGGUCAAGUUUAUAUAAAAGCAAAUAACACUGAAAUCUAAUCAUCCUUUACAAACAAAUGUGAUUUAUUCAAUUAUCGCAAACAAUAGUUUUAUCGGAGUUAAUUACAUUAUUGGUAAACUUGUAUAUGCUUUCCUGUUUCAAACAUAUCUACUUAAUUACAUUAUUCAUCGACAAUGUUACUUUGCUUGUAGAAGUUUCAUUUUUUCAUACCUUAAUCACUAUUUAACGCUUCGUUUUCCAAUAGUUCUAAUUCUUCAAAUUUUGGUUUUAUUCUUCCAUAAUUAUAAAUUGAUACUAAUUCGCACGACUCAAAUUAAAGUGGUUAAUUACUCUAAAAGUAUAAAUAUGGCAGUCAAUAAUUACAUAAAAUAAUUGCAAAAAAAAAAAAGUUGAUAAGGAAUAGUAUAAAUUUAAAAUCCGCUAAGGUUAUGAGAUCCAAGCUUGAUAUUUAAAUCAUGGCCAUAACAUUUAUAUAUAUACACUUGUUUCAAUAUAAUGUGACUUAGUUCUUAAUUAACCACUCAAUGAAGAAAAAUGAGAAUUAAGUAUAUAUUAUGCCACAACUUUAUUGGAGUGUUCCCACUACCAUAUUAGUAGUCAACAUUAGGUCUAAACUCCCACAUAAAUUAACCACUACAUGAAUAAACAAGGGGAUGAAGUACAUAAUUGCCACGGCCAUAUUGGAAUGUUUCCACUACCAUAUUCACAUGUCAAUGUUUUGUCUAAACAUUUAUAUACAUCCAAGGAAAUUUAGAUCUAUAAAUAAAUAUAAAAUAUGGAAUGAAAAUAAUUGGUAGAAAAUAUAAAUUACAAACAAUAAACUUAAAAUUCACUUGAGAAAGUAAUUAAAUCAACAAUUUGAAUCCUUGAACUUACCCAUCACCUUAGCUUAGAAAAUUAGUCACUCAUAUUAGUAAACAAAACACUCAUUUUAUUUAAUAAAUUUGUAAAAGUAUAAUACAAGAAAAUUUUAAAUAAAGAAGAGAAAAAAAAAUCUCUUCUUAUUAACAACACUUCUUCAUAAAAUUCACUCUAAAUUUAUACUAAAUUUCACUAGGAAAUUCACCUCUAAAAUUCUACACACGGAAUUAUCAAAUCUCUUGCCUUUAUAUAGGCAAAUUCUAGGUUGAUCAAGUGUGGGCAUUUACAUGAUAUUUUUGGUGAACUUGCAACCACAACCUUUAAAUGACAUUUGAUAAUACAAAUACAAUCCAAGGGGUCCAAAAUUGCAAGUAUCGUCAUGCAUUAUAAAACGGUUGAUUCAACAUAAUCAAUGGCUAUAAUGAAAUCAAAUCGGGAUCCUCCAUUGGAUUUUUUGUUUUUUAAUUCAAAGUGGUUGAACCACUAAAUUGAUAAGUAUUAGAUCUAGUGUAAAGAGGUGCAUGUAAGCUUAGACACAAGGCAUGAUACCUAGCCUUUCAGAAUUAAUAUUAAAUAAAACGGCUACCUAUUCUUCCAAAAGUUAAAAUUAUAAUUUUUACUUUUAUUUAAUUAAUUUAUACUUUCUAAUAUUAAUCAUUGAUGAACAAUUUUUUAUUUCAUCACCGUCUAGAUUGCUUUUAUCUUACACAAAUUUGUUUUAAACCUUUAAAUAGUGGAUUUCUUUAUGAUAAUGUAUGUAUUUUUACAGCAUUGAUAGUGGGAUUAAUGUGAACCAUUAGUUUUAAGUAUUUUAAUCUCAAUCGUCCAUUUAAUAUAAUGGAUAAUUAAAUAAUUAAUGAAAAUGUAGCAUGUAAUUUACAAGUUGCUGGUAAUUAUUUGUUUUUUAAUUUUAAAUUAAUAUUAAUUUGAGAAAAAGCCACACACACCUCAAUGUUUGCUCAAAUAGUCAUAUAGAUCCACUUAGUUUCGUAAAUGGUAAUAAAGACCCCUUAAUUUUCAUAAAUGACUAUUAUACGUUUUGAUUUAAACAACCUAAAUAAAUAUACAUAUAGUAGUAGGAUAAAAAUAAUAAUAAAUAUCAUAUGAUACAAAUAAAAUAUUAAAAUAAGUAUAAUUAAUAAAAAUAACUUGUAUAAUGAAUUUUUUUAAUAUUAAGUUAUUAUUAAUCUAUCCCGAUGGAUUUAUUAAAAUCUACUAAUCCAAAAAUUGACUUUAAGAUAGAUAUUAAUACAGAUAUAAUUAGAAAAGAUAUUGUAAAUAAAACACUAUAAAUUAUUAUAAAUUGUUGUGAGUGUUAGGUAUAACUAUUUCAAUAUUCUAUAUCACACAUCAUACUUAAGAUGUUGAUUUUGUUGAAGUGUUAUGUUAUUAAACAUUAAGCUUUGCAUUUAUAAUGUGCCACAACUUUAAUGUAAAAUUUAAUAAAAAAUAUAAAGACAUUUUUUAGUAGUCAAUUGUAUUGUAAUAUGAUCAAAUUACGACAGAAUUAUCAUAUUUUCACUAUUGAAUAUGCAUAUUAUUCUUAUUGAAUACAAAGGUGCAUCGUUACGAGUAGCACAAUUUCAUCAUCAUCAUCAUCUUGCAUCCAUUUAAAAAAAAAAAUGGAAAUAUAGACCUUAAAUAAGCUAAUGGAGGAAGACCAACAGUCCUGAAAAGUUGUUCCAUAAAUUUAAGCCUACGAUAAUACUUAUUUCUAAACUGACACUUCAAGUAACUUAGGGCAUGUUCAGUAUCAUUUUGUAGCCCUUAUUUUCAUUUUUAUUUUAAUAGUACAAGUGUAAUAUAUGUUUGGCGAGCCUAAAUCUUAAAUCAAAUUAUAAAAUGUGUUAAACAUAAUCUAUUUGACAAUAAUAAAAGUUAAAAUAUGUUAAACACGUUUUUUGUAAAUUAUAAAAAAAAUUAUAAAAUAAUAUACUACACAUCCUCCAAAGCAUAGCAAAUAAAAUAUAUUUUACAAACACUACUAUAGAAAGACAUAUAAGACCUAUUUAAGUUAGUAGAGGUGAUUUUUCUUUUAGUCAUUAAGACAUAUGAAUUAAUAUGCACACACACACACACACACAUAUUGAGUACUUCUAUCUACCCCUAUUUACUAAUGGAAGGGAAAUUAAAAUCGUAAUUACCCUGAUAUAUUAUGAAUUGAUAUGUCACAUAUAAAUAUCAUUGAAAAUUAAUUUUAGAUUAAUGAAGUAAACCAUAUAUAGGCAUUUAAUUAAUCUAAGGUCAAAUGAAAUAUAUCACAUGACAUUUCAUGUAGUAGUCCAAUUUUUAACACUUGCAUAUAGUUUUGUAAGCUAAUAAGCCAAUGAAAUAUACCACAUGAGAAAUUAAAGGGCUAUUAUUUAUAUUUCACUAUUGGGCAAAUAUGGAUCUUCCAAUUCUCUUCUAUGGCCAUAAAUUAGAAUAAAAAAAUCACAUAGUAGAGACUACAUCUGUUUGCAUGCUCUCAAAAUAGAUUUUGAAAUUAGUUUUGAAUGCUUUCAAAAUAAAUUUUGAAAUUAGUUUGGUUACAUGAUAAUCAAAUUAUCUUAUAACAUUAAUGAUAUAAUUUAAGCACUAUUUUAACAUUUGUGAGUUUUACAUUAAAUCUUCAAAUUAAUUACAUAUUGUCACUCUUUCUUGUUUUGCUUGAAAUUCCUAUUUAAUAAAAUUACGAAAAGUUGAUAAUGAAUGGUUUAAGAUACAUAGGUAAGAUAAACUUUAAAAGUCUAAUGAAACAUUCCUAUGAAUGUUAGUUUCGUAUGCAUGUUCAUAUAUUUCAUUGAAAUCAUAUAUUCUAUUGAAUUUUGUGUUAUUAAAUGAAAUAUGUUAUUCAAGUGAAAAAUGUGAGAAUAUUUAAAACUGUAGGGAUGGUCAUUGAAAUUUCUCAUAUUUCUACCAACUCCACAAUCCAAUAGUUCAUCCCUUUGUUAACCGGUUAUGUUAUUUUAAAAAUAAUUAAUAAAUUUUAUUAAUAAAUAUAAUGUAUACUGUUAAUUAAAUCAAAUAAUUAAUAUUACUUACACUAUUGAUGCCGUAAACAUAGAGGUACCUUUAAAUAGUUUCUAACCAUUAUAUAAUUUUAUCUAUCCUUAUUUUUACCUCUUCUUAACUGACUUCACCAAUAUAUUUUUAAAAGAAACGUGGCCAUCUGUUACCCGUUGGAUCACCUGCUUUUAAAUCAAAUAAUUACAUGAGAUAAAGACAAAACGCACACUAUAGUGUUACAGUUACAACAUAGAUAUGGCUGUAGAGGCGCAAAAAAAAAAUCUAUUUGUUUAGUCACUGUACCCUUUUUCAUUCAUUUCGUCCACUUCCAAAUCCUCGAGAGAAACAAGACAAAUAAAAAUGAUUUUAAGAAAUUUCGUCCACUUCCAACUUUAAAUAAAAUAAAUAAAUAAUAUCUGGUAAUGAUAUGACAAUUACAUAAGAGAAAACACUGCCUACCAAUUUUCUUCUCAGGCAGCGCCUAUGUCACAUUCGAGUCAAUUAAAAUCGUAUUAAAACUCUUUUUUUAAUUAUAUUUUAUAUAAUAUUAAAAAUAUUCUUUUUUAAAUAAAUAUUUUUUUUAUUUAUGAUUUUUUUUAAUUUUUAAUAGUUUUCUCACUCUUUUAGUCUUAAUAUUUAUAUUCUUCUCUUUAAAUUUUUUUACUAUUUAAUUUCUAAAGAAAAAAAUCUAAAAAAAAUGAGAAAAACUUUAUACUUAGAAAAUAAUGAAUAUUUUAUGGGUUUAAUAUAAUUUUAUCCUACCUAUAAAUUUUGGGUUCAUUGAGUUUAGCAAUUAGUUUGAGAAUCCUUAAAAAAUUAGUUGUAAAGGGAUAAAAUUUUAUUUAAUUUAUUUUUUCCUACGUUGUAUCUUAAUUAAGUUGUUAUAUUUAUUAUAAAAAUUUUGUUUUGGCUUAGAGGAUUACUUCUUAAAUUCAAAUUAUUUUAGUGAUAACAAAAAAAUUUAUAUUGUGCAAGUAAAAUAAAAUUCAAAAGAGAAAGAAAAUAUAAAUAAUUUAUAUUUAUUCUUAAAUAUAAUUGUAAUAUAAUAAAAUUUUUAUGAAAUUAAUGAAGGAAUUCAUUUUAUUUUUUGUAAUAAACUAUUUUUUUAAAAGAAGAAAUGCUUUUAUUAAACCAAUUGGGUGAUUACAUUUAUGAUUUAUGGGGGAAAAGAUUCCCUCCAGACACAAUCAUCACUGCAUGCUAAUGCUAUAUUGGCUAUAGCAUGUGCACUUGCAUUACAUUCCCUUGGGAUGUGCUGGAUUACUGUGCCGGAUUACAAUCAUACUGUCUCCUCUUACGCAGCACCAAAUCAACCACCUCUUUUUUAAUCCGAUUCGACAGUCAAAGGGUCCAUCCUGCAUCUUUGGCCACCUCGAUUCCCAUGUUAAUAGUGAAACAAACAAUUUGUAAAAGUAUAAUACAAGAAAAUUAGCCAUUUUGGCUUAGAAAAUUAGCCACUUUGACUUCACUCAUCACCUUGGCUUAGAAAAUUAGCCAUUCAUAUUAGUAAAUAAAACAUUCAUUUUAUUUAAUAAAUUUGUAAAAAUAUAAUAUAAGAAAAUUUAAAAUAAAGAAGAAGAGAAAAAAAAAAAAAGAAAUCUCUUCUUAUUAACUACACUUCUCCAUAAAAUUCACUCUAGAUUUACUCUAAAAUUUUCUAGGAAACUCACCUCUAAAAUUCUACACAUCGAAUCAUCAAAUCUCUUGCCUCUAUAUAGGCAAAUUCUAGGUUGAUCAAAUGUGGGCAUUUACAUGAUAUUUUUGGUGAACUUGCAACCACAACCUUUAAAUGGCCUUUGAUAAUACAAAUACAAUCCGAGGGUCUAAAAUUGCAAGUAUUGUCAUGCAUUAUAAAAUAGUUGAUUCAACAUAAUGAAUGACUACAAUGAAGUCAAAUCGGGAUCCUUCAUUGAAUUUUUUUUUUAAUUCAAGGUGAUUAAACCACUAAAUUGCUAAGUAUUAAAUUUAGUGUAAAGAGGUGCAUGUGAGCUUAGACUCACGGCACGAUGAAACAGCUACCAAUUCUUCCAAACGUUAAAAUUAUAAUUUUUACACUAAUGGUAACCAUUGAUGAAUAAUUUUGUAUUUCAUCGCCGUCUAGAUUGCAUUUAUCUUACACAAAUAUGUCUUAAACCUUUAAAUAGAUUCUAACCACUAUAUAAUUUUUUCUGUCCUUAAUUUUAAUAGAAACGUGGCCAUCUAUUGCUCGUUGGAUCACUUACUUUUAAAUUCAAUAAUUACAUGAGAUAAAAGAUAAAACGCGUGCUAUAGUGUCACCGUUACAACAUAGACGUGGCCGUGGAGGCACAGAAAAAUCGAUUUGCUUUGUCACUGUACGCUUUGUCAUUUAUUUUGUCCACUUCCACAUCCUCGAGAGAAACAACACAAAUAAAAAAGAUUUUAAAAAAUUUUGAUGCCUUGUUCGCCGAAUCUCUCCACUUUUAAAUAAAUUGAUUGUCGUGAUCCUGAAUUGAUCAUGUGAUGCUGAGCGCAUCUCAUGAAGAAUUUAUAAACCUCAAAUAAAUAAAUAAAUAAUAUCUGACAAUGGCAUGGCACUUACUCUGGAGUAAACACGGCCCACUAAGUUUCUCAGGCAGCGCCUAUAUUACAUUUUCUGUAACAAACAAUUGAAGAAUAUGUUUUGGCCCACAUUCAUAAGUUUCUCCAUAUGUUUUAAAACCAACCCCCUCCUGGCCUCCUUUAUGGACUCCACUUUUAAGAAGUGUGUUACCCACCAUCACCAAGUAAACAAAAAAAAACCUCUUUCCCCUUCUGCUUUCAUUCUCAAUCUCUUUGUCACUUUGUUUUUCCUUUUCUCUAUAUAUGAUAUUUAAUAACUAUUAAAUGCUUGUUUCGAAGGGUUUCCUUUUCUCUAUAUAUGAUAUUUAAUAACUAUUAACCCAGUUUUCACCUACAUCCAUAGUCACAUUUCAAUUAACACCUUACAUAUUUAAUAUUAUUUUUAUUCUAUUUUACACCUGUAUCAUAAUACCCCUCUUUAUUAUUCUGAAAUUGAAUAAUAGUCAUGUUUAAUUUAGAACCUUACACUCUUUUUUUAAAAAAAAAAUUAUUAGGAUAUUUUUUAAAUAUACUAUCAAAUUUCAUGUAACACUUUACACUCUUUUUAUUAUAAAUUUUUUAAUAAAUAUUAUCUAUAGUACUUUUUACUUACAUGUAUAACGAAUUAUGUAAUCCCAAUAGUUCAAAAAGUAUUAUAAUUUUUAUUACUCUUAUUUUUAUCAUGUUAUUUAUUUUAAGUAUUCUUAUUUUAUGGGUGCAUUCGGUACGUCAUUAUUUGUUGUAUUAAGUUAUAUUGCGUUAUUUUCUAUUACAUUAGGCUGUUUUAAACUAUAAUUUAGUAUAAAAAAAAUUAUCUUUCAUGUAUAGGAAUAAAAAUUUUUAAUAAUAUAAUGUCAGUCCAUGCUACAUAAAAUUAAUUCAAUACCUAUUUGGAUACGAUGAAUUAUUAUUUACAACAGCGAAUCAAAGGGUUAAAUAACAAUGAUAAAAAUAAAAGUAUGAAAAAUUAUAAUAUUUUUAUAAUGGAACUAUUUGAAUUGCAUAAUUUAUUGUGAAUCUUAGAAAACAGUAUCGUAAUAUUUAUAAAAAAACUUAAAAUAAAAAGAGUAUCAAGUGUUAAAUGAAAUUUGAUAGUGAAUGUAAAAAAAACCUAAUAUUUUAAAAAAAUAUAAUUAAAAAGGAGUGUAAGUUUUUAAAUUAAACAUGCUAAUUAUUCAAUUUCAAAAUAGUAAAGAGGUCCAUAAAAAAAAAAAGUUAAAGACAGGCAUUGUGAUAUAAGUGAAUAUUAGAUAAAAAAUUUAUAAAUAUGAUAUAGUAUAAGGUGCUAACAAAAAUGUACCUAUAGAUGUAGGUGGAAAUUAGUUUAAUACUUAUGAAACAAAUGUUAAAUAAAAAUAAAUGGAGGGUUUGUAUAGAUAUUUCUCAAAAAGACAAAAGAAGUGGUAUGACACCACUAGGGCAACGUAGCUGGACUCCAUUUAGAAUAGUUUAUUUGAUGAUUAUAAAUAUUUCUUUGAUUUUAUAAAUUGUUUUUAAAUUUUUUAUUUAUUUAGUUAUUUUUAAUAAAAUUUUAAAAAAUUAAAUAAAUUAUUUUACCUCUAUUAAUAAAAAUUUAAAUUUUAAAUUUUUUAAAAUAAAGAUUCAAAAUUUUUUAAGAUAUUAAAAUUUUUAAAAUAUAUUUUAGAUACUUAACAAUCUUAUUUUAUUUUUAUUAAAUAAUUUUAAAAAUUUUAUUUAAUAAAAUAAUUUUAUAAUUUUUAAUAAAAGUCUCAUUAAAAAUUAAAAAAUUAAUUUAUAAAAAUUUUAGGGUCUGCUUAAGUUACGUUUAAUGUAACUUACGGCUUGGCCCUAAAAUUUUAUUCAGCCCCCUAUACUCUAUGUUAUUUAUAAUUUAUUUGUGAAUAUUAUAAAAUUUUUUAGAUUAUAAAAUUUCGUCUAACCCCUUACACUCAAUUUUAUUUUAUUGAAAUCUUAGAAUACGAAUUUGCCCCCUAUAAUUUUAAAUUUCUAAAAUAACCUCCAUUUAAUUAAAAAAUAUAAUUAUUAUUAAAUGAAUUAUAAUUAUAAUUAUUAUUUUAUUAUAAUAAUAAAUAUAAUUAUAUUUUUUAACAAUAUAAAGAGAAGAUUGAUGGAGAACUUUAAACAAUUUGACGUAUUCACAUUAUUUAUAUGUAUAUGCGAGUUAGACAUUAUUUAUUUAUUACAUUCUUUUUGUGAAUUAUAAAUCAUAAGGAAACGAUUUUGAGGGAGCAAUUAGAGUCACAAAUCCCUACUAUUUCUUUUAUGUAAUAGAAUUCGUGGAGCCAAUUAACGGUUGCAAAAAAAGCCCCAUGAUGCUAAGAGUUUCAGUGAGUGUAUUUAUAGUAACUCCCCUAAUGACUUACUUUUUAAUUGUUAUGCAACAAUAUCAAUAUUUUUGUGAAUGAAGCUCACACCAAUUUCCAUUGCCACUUUUGGUGUUGUCUAAACAUUUUGGCAUGGCACCAUUAAUAGAACAUCCAAGCAAAAAAAUACCAAAAGUUCUGUGAUUAAGAGAAAAUUAAUUGCAAUUAAUGGAAGUUAUUGGAGAAAGUGGUGCAUUAUUGGAGAACUUUAAACAAAUUAAUCGCAUAAUGUGAAUAUGUCAAAUCAUUAAUUUUUAAAUGGAUGGUUAUAUAUUUUUUUAAAUAUAAUCUUUUAUUUAAAAAAUAUAAUUAUAUUUAUGAUUAUAAUAAAAUAAUAAUUAUAAUUAUGAUUUAUUUAAUAAUUAUUAUAUUUUUAAUUAAAUAGAAUUUAUUUUAAAAAUUUAAAAUUAUAGGAGGUGAAUUUAUAUUUCAAAAUUUCAAUAAAAUAAAAUUAAAUGUAAAGAGUUAAAUAAAAUUUUAUAAUUUAAAAAUUUUUAUAAUAUUUAUGAAUAAAUUAUAAAUAAUAUAAAAUAUAGGGACUGAAUAAAAUUUUAGGACCUAACGAAUAAGUUACGUUAAACAUAACUUAAGUGGACUAAAAUUUUAUUAAUAAAAAACUUUUUUAAAUAAAUUUUAUUUUAAAAAUUAUACUAUAAGACAAAAACCCUGCACUUACCAACCCGUACUGAUUAAAACCCCUCACCAACGCGUCUGCUCUCACCAUCAAUGCUGUCAGUGAAUAAGCACAUCACACCUUAAUAAUGACAGCUGGGUGUUAUCAUUUCGGUCAAAAAGGUAGACCCCCAAAAACAAUGAUAAUAAUUAACAGUCAUAAAUAAAAAAUAAUAUUGGGUAUGUUACCAUUUUGGUCAAAAAGAUGAUUUCGCCAAAAAGAUAAUUUUGGAUCUGUAAUACGAUUUUCGCCAAAAAGAUAAUUUUGCCGCUAAUUAUUUGGGUAGUCAGAUAAUAAUAACAAAACAUGUUAUCUUUCGCCUAUAACUUGAGGAGAUAAUAAGAGUUUUUCAUUAUACUCUACUGUUAGUUUCUCUUCUUCGUUUUUUUUUCUCCCUUUUGAAGUCUUUCAACAAAAAUGGGUGGCAUCAUCUCAACCUUCUUCUCAGCGGACACAAUCCGUCCAAUUUUAUUUUACGUUGGUGGACAAGCAAAGUAUAUAUGGGGUCUUAAAGGCAAUCUCGAUGACUUGCAGACUCAAAAGGAGAACUUGAUUGCGAAAAAACAAGAUCUGCUGAAUAAGGUUAAGCUUGCCGAGCAAAAACCCCGAAUCAGACGGACAACGACGGUGGAACUUUGGUUUAAAAGGGUGGAUGAAAUGGAAACUGAAGUUGAGAAUCUGCAAAAAGAAAGAGGUCAAGAGAUUGACAGAUUGUGUCUUGGAGGCUUCUGUUCCACGGACUUGAUUUCAAGCUACGACUUCGGCAAAAAGGUGGAGAACUUGAGAGAAAAAGUGAUCGAACUGAAGAAAGAGGGGGAAGCAAUGAAAGAAGUUUAUGAGGGGGUACCAGAAGGUGCAGCGGUUGAAAAAG
rnacentral:lncRNA from 1 species